GCCUGAGUGGCUCAGUGGUUGAGCGUCUGCCUGUGGCUCAGGGUGUGAUCCUGGUCCUGGGAUCGAGUCCCACAUCGGGCU
rfam:Canis lupus familiaris chromosome 1, whole genome shotgun sequence.